rnacentral:rRNA from 1 species
UACAGAGGUCCCGAGCGUUGUUCGGAUUUACUGGGCGUAAAGGGCGCGUAGGCGGUCGUGACAAGGCACUUGUGAAAUCUCCGGGCUUAACUCGGAACGGUCAAGUGAUACUGUCGGACUAGAGUACAGAAGGGGCAACUGGAAUUCUCGGUGUAGCGGUGAAAUGCGUAGAUAUCGAGAGGAACACCUGCGGCGAAGGCGGGUUGCUGGGCUGAUACUGACGCUGAGGAGCGAAAGCGUGGGGAGCGAACAGG